AUAAACCUAAACCCCUAAGCGGCUAAGCCUGACGUCAUAUACCAAAAAGAGUAAACAUGAGCGCCGUCAAGCUCUGCAAGUACAAUCUCAUCUUAACUCAAAAGUUGAGAUAGGUUCUUAGAUCAGGUUCCGCCUUUAGAUCGAGUCAUGGUCUUGUCUGAUAGAAAGGUACUUUCUUUUACUUCUCUUGAUUAGCGUCUAUAGCUAGAUUGAGAUCGAGUUUGUGAGAUGUUAGGUUCGAUAUCCCUGUCUAUUUGUCACCAGCCAUGUAGGAGUUUCGUCCCUUCCCCUCCCGUCGCCCUCUCUGUUUUUGGUAUUCAUUGGAAUACGGAGAUAUAUUUUCAAGAGGAGAAAUAUUGUUUUGUUGUGAUUUUUCUCUACAAGCGAAUGAGUCAUUCAUCCUAAGUCCAACAUAGCGUUCGAUAAGAUCUUAGAAAAUUAUUUUAAGUCUAACAUAGCGUUUGAUUGGAUCUUAGGAAAUUAUUCUAAGUCCAACAUAGCGUAGAGAAAUGGAAGAUAUCGUGAAUGAUAUUUGUAGUAAUGGCGAAACUAGAAAAAGCAUUGGAUAUAUUCUAGGAUAUGCAAAAGUUAUCCUUGAAUAUGUUCACAUUAAAUGUUAUUUUCUACUUAAUGAACAGUUGAUGAUACAAUUAUUUUCUUUAAAAUUGUUUCCGUGUAACCAAAACAUAUUUCAGUAUAUGCAAAAUAAAAAAUGGAUGUUGGUAUUCUUAUUUUGCAAGGCUUGUAAUGGGUGUUGUGUAGUCUCUUUUACAAGGUGUUGUGAAGUCUACAUGAAGCAAGUCAGCUAAUUACAUGCAUCUUUCACAUUGUAAUUAAUUUGAUUUCAAUUUUGUAAUUUUAUUUGCUUUUGUGUACCAAAGCUGAAAUCAAAUUGUUUACAAUUUCAAUAUAAAUGAUAUAAUUUUUACA
rnacentral:sRNA from 1 species